rnacentral:rRNA from 1 species
GACGAACGCUGGCGGCGUGCUUAACACAUGCAAGUCGAACGGGAUUUAGUAGACAGAAGCCUCGGCUAAAGAUUACUAAUGAGAGUGGCGAACGGGUGAGUAACGCGUGAGCAACCUGCCUAUGACAGUGGGAUAGCCUCGGGAAACCGGGAUUAAUACCGCAUAAAAUCGUAGAAACACAUGUUUCAACGGUCAAAGAUUUAUCGGUCAUAGAUGGGCUCGCGUCUGAUUAGCUAGUUGGUGAGAUAACAGCCCACCAAGGCGACGAUAAGUAGCCGGUCUGAGAGGAUGAGCGGCCACAUUGGAACUGAGACACAGUCCAAACUCCUACGGGAGGCAGCAGUGGGGAAUAUUGCACAAUGGGGGAAACCCUGAUGCAGCGACGCCGCGUGAACGAAGAAGGUAUUCGUAUCGUAAAGUUCUGUCCUAUGGGAAGAUAAUGACAGUACCAUAGAAGAAAGCUCCGGCUAAAUACGUG